rnacentral:rRNA from 2 species
UUUGAGUAACACGUGGGUAACCUGCCUGUAAGACUGGGAUAACUCCGGGAAACCGGGGCUAAUACCGGAUGGUUGUUUGAACCGCAUGGUUCAGACAUAAAAGGUGGCUUCGGCUACCACUUACAGAUGGACCCGCGGCGCAUUAGCUAGUUGGUGAGGUAACGGCUCACCAAGGCAACGAUGCGUAGCCGACCUGAGAGGGUGAUCGGCCACACUGGGACUGAGACACGGCCCAGACUCCUACGGGAGGCAGCAGUAGGGAAUCUUCCGCAAUGGACGAAAGUCUGACGGAGCAACGCCGCGUGAGUGAUGAAGGUUUUCGGAUCGUAAAGCUCUGUUGUUAGGGAAGAACAAGUGCCGUUCAAAUAGGGCGGCACCUUGACGGUACCUAACCAGAAAGCCACGGCUAACUACGUGCCAGCAGCCGCGGUAAUACGUAGGUGGCAAGCGUUGUCCGGAAUUAUUGGGCGUAAAGGGCUCGCAGGCGGUUUCUUAAGUCUGAUGUGAAAGCCCCCGGCUCAACCGGGGAGGGUCAUUGGAAACUGGGGAACUUGAGUGCAGAAGAGGAGAGUGGAAUUCCACGUGUAGCGGUGAAAUGCGUAGAGAUGUGGAGGAACACCAGUGGCGAAGGCGACUCUCUGGUCUGUAACUGACGCUGAGGAGCGAAAGCGUGGGGAGCGAACAGGAUUAGAUACCCUGGUAGUCCACGCCGUAAA